GUGUCAGCCGCCGCGGUAAUACGUAGGGGGCAAGCGUUGUCCGGAAUCAUUGGGCGUAAAGGGCGCGUAGGCGGAUAGUUAAGUCUGGUGUGAAAGGUCAGGGCUCAACCCUGAGAGUGCAUCGGAAACUGGCUAUCUUGAGGACAGGAGAGGAAAGUGGAAUUCCACGUGUAGCGGUGAAAUGCGUAGAUAUGUGGAGGAACACCAGUGGCGAAGGCGACUUUCUGGACUGUAACUGACGCUGAGGCGCGA
rnacentral:rRNA from 1 species